rnacentral:tRNA from 1 species
GGCCCCAUCGUCUAACCGGAAAAGGCACAGGUUUCCUAAACCUGGGAUCCCCGUUCGAGUCGGGGUGGGGCUACCA